UACAGAGGGUGCAAGCGUUGUUCGGAAUUAUUGGGCGUAAAGGGUGCGUAGGAGGGCAGGUAAGUCAGUGGUGAAAUCUUCGAGCUUAACUCGGAAACUGCCGUUGAUACUAUCUGUCUUGAAUCCCGUGGAGAUGAGCGGAAUAUGUCAUGUAGCGGUGAAAUGCUUAGAUAUGACAUAGAACACCAAUUGCGAAGGCAGCUCGUUACACGAAGAUUGACUCUGAGGCACGAAAGCGUGGGGAUCAAACAGG
rnacentral:rRNA from 1 species